rnacentral:rRNA from 1 species
AUUGAACGCUGGCGGCAUGCUUUACACAUGCAAGUCGAACGGUAACAGGCCGCUAGGUGCUGACGAGUGGCGAACGGGGGAGUAAUACAUCUGAACGUGCCCCGUCGUGGGGGAUAACUACUCGGAAGAGUAGCUCAUACCGCACACGAUCUAUGGAUGAAAGAGGGGGGCCGUAAGGCAUCGCGCGAUUUGAGCGGCCGAUGUCAGAUUAGGUAGUUGGUGGGGUAAAGGCGCACCAAGACAACGAUCUGUAGCUGGUCUGAGAGGACGACCAGCCACACUGGAACUGAGACACGGUCCAGACUCCUACGGGAGGCAGCAGUGGGGAAUAUUGGACAAUGGGCGCAAGCCUGAUCCAGCAAUGCCGCGUGUAUGAAGAAGGUCUUCGGAUUGUAAACUGCUUUUGGUUGGGAGGAAACGCAGUAGGUUAAUACCUGGCUCUAAUGACGGUACCGAAAGAAUAAGCACCGGCUAACUACGUG